rnacentral:rRNA from 1 species
GUCUAUGGCCAUACCACCCUGAACGCUCCCGAUCUUGUCUGAUCUCGGAAGUUAAGCAGGGUUGGGUUUGGUUAGUACUUGGAUGGGAAGAAUCUUUGCUGAAACAACAGGCAUAGAAA